GAGAGAGAGGUUUUAAAAGUGAUUUAUCCAUAAACAGAGAUUCCAUAUGUCCUAAUCUGGCAUGGAUUUCUCGCCUUCUCUUUAUAGCAAGGAAUGUGUGUAUGCCUGUAUAGCAGGGCUAUAAUGUGACAAUUUGUCUCGGAGCGAAACCAGGAUUUAUGGUACUUACUGGAGACCACAGAGGCUGCUGGGUGCAGAUGUACUCACCUGACUCAUGUGCACGCUUGUCUGCUGAUCCCAGCAUUCCCCGGAGACAGCUGGCAAGAGGAAAUGGGCAAGCUGGCCAUCAGUGGACACUGAACUUGUAUGCUGAAGGUAAGUCAGACUUUCUGGUGAUGUUCUUUUCCUUUCAGGAUAAUGAGCAGUGGCAGGUUCCCCAUGCUCACCCUUCCCUCCCCAUACAGCACUUGCUCAUUUUUUAG
rnacentral:lncRNA from 1 species